rnacentral:snRNA from 1 species
GUGCUCGCUUCAGCAACACAUAUACUAAAAUUGGAAUGAUACAGAGAAGAUUAGCAUGGCCCUUGCGCAAGGAUGACACGCAAAUUUGUGAAGUGUUUCAUAUUUCA